rnacentral:rRNA from 1 species
GACGAACGCUGGCGGCGUGCUUAACACAUGCAAGUCGAACGGAAAGGCCCUUCGGGGUACUCGAGUGGCGAACGGGUGAGUAACACGUGGGUGAUCUGCCCUGCACUUUGGGAUAAGCCUGGGAAACUGGGUCUAAUACCGAAUAGGACCACGCGCUUCAUGGUGUGUGGUGGAAAGCUUUUGCGGUGUGGGAUGGGCCCGCGGCCUAUCAGCUUGUUGGUGGGGUAAUGGCCUACCAAGGCGACGACGGGUAGCCGGCCUGAGAGGGUGACCGGCCACACUGGGACUGAGGUACGGCCCAGACUCCUACGGGAGGCAGCAGUGGGGAAUAUUGCACAAUGGGCGCAAGCCUGAUGCAGCGACGCCGCGUGAGGGAUGACGGCCUUCGGGUUGUAAACCUCUUUCAAUAGGGACGAAGCGAAAGUGACGGUACCUAUAGAAGAAGCACCGGCCAACUACGUG